rnacentral:tRNA from 1 species
GGAGGAGUGGCAGAGCGGUUGAAUGCGGCGGUCUUGAAAACCGUUGAAGCCUUACGGCUUCCAGGGGUUCGAAUCCUCUCUCCUCCGCCA